GCGCCCUUAGCUCAGCUGGAUAGAGCAACGCCCUUCUAAGGCGUGGGUCGCAGGUUCGAAUCCUGCAGGGCGUG
rnacentral:tRNA from 1 species